rnacentral:rRNA from 1 species
UACGGAGGAUGCGAGCGUUAUCCGGAUUUAUUGGGUUUAAAGGGUGCGUAGGCGGCUUAGUAAGUCAGCGGUGAAAUUUUGUCAGCUUAACUGUAACAGUGCCGUUGAUACUGCCAGGCUAGGAUUUGGUUGCUGUGGGUGGAAUGUGUGGUGUAGCGGUGAAAUGCAUAGAUAUUACACAGAACACCGAUUGCGAAGGCAGCUUACUAAUCCAUCAUUGACGCUGAGGCACGAAAGCGUGGGGAUCAAACAGGAUUA